rfam:Salmo salar isolate Sally breed double haploid chromosome ssa12, whole genome shotgun sequence.
AAUGCACCAAUUUGUAAGUCGCUCUGGAUAACAGUGUCUGCUAAAUGACGUAAA